rnacentral:rRNA from 1 species
AACGUAGGUUCCGAGCGUUAUCCGGAUUUACUGGGCGUAAAGCGCGUUCAGGCGGUUUGGCAAGUCGGGCGUGAAAUCUCCCGGCUCAACCGGGAGAGGUCGUCCGAUACUGUUAGACUUGAGGGCAGUAGAGGGUGGUGGAAUUCCGGGUGUAGUGGUGAAAUGCGUAGAGAUCCGGAGGAACACCAGUGGCGAAAGCGGCCACCUGGACUGCACCUGACGCUGAAACGCGAAAGCUAGGGGAGCGAACGGG